CUCUGACGUUAGCGGCGGACGGGUGAGUAACACGUGGAUAACCUACCUAUAAGACUGGGAUAACUUCGGGAAACCGGAGCUAAUACCGGAUAAUAUAUUGAACCGCAUGGUUCAAUAGUGAAAGACGGUUUUGCUGUCACUUAUAGAUGGAUCCGCGCCGCAUUAGCUAGUUGGUAAGGUAACGGCUUACCAAGGCAACGAUGCGUAGCCGACCUGAGAGGGUGAUCGGCCACACUGGAACUGAGACACGGUCCAGACUCCUACGGGAGGCAGCAGUAGGGAAUCUUCCGCAAUGGGCGAAAGCCUGACGGAGCAACGCCGCGUGAGUGAUGAAGGUCUUAGGAUCGUAAAACUCUGUUAUUAGGGAAGAACAAACGUGUAAGUAACUGUGCACGUCUUGACGGUACCUAAUCAGAAAGCCACGGCUAACUACGUGCCAGCAGCCGCGGUAAUACGUAGGUGGCAAGCGUUAUCCGGAAUUAUUGGGCGUAAAGCGCGCGUAGGCGGUUUUUUAAGUCUGAUGUGAAAGCCCACGGCUCAACCGUGGAGGGUCAUUGGAAACUGGAAAACUUGAGUGCAGAAGAGGAAAGUGGAAUUCCAUGUGUAGCGGUGAAAUGCGCAGAGAUAUGGAGGAACACCAGUGGCGAAGGCGACUUUCUGGUCUGUAACUGACGCUGAUGUGCGAAAGCGUGGGGAUCAAACAGGAUUAGAUACCCUGGUAGUCCACGCCGUAAACGAUGAGUGCUAAGUGUUAGGGGGUUUCCGCCCCUUAGUGCUGCAGCUAACGCAUUAAGCACUCCGCCUGGGGAGUACGACCGCAAGUGAA
rnacentral:rRNA from 1 species